UACGUAGGGACCGAGCGUUGUCCGGAAUCAUUGGGCGUAAAGAGCGUGUAGGCGGCUUGCUAAGUCUUGCGUGAAAUCUCGGGGCUCAACCCCGAGCGGUCGUGGGAAACUGGCAGGCUAGAGUGCGGGAGAGGAGAAUGGAAUUCCUGGUGUAGCGGUGAAAUGCGCAGAUAUCAGGAAGAACACCCGUGGCGAAGGCGAGUCCCUGGACAACACCUGACACUGAGGCACGAAAGCUAGGGGAGCAAACAGG
rnacentral:rRNA from 1 species